rnacentral:piRNA from 1 species
UACCACUACACAGGAAUUAAA